CCUACGGGGGGCAGCAGUGAGGAAUAUUGGUCAAUGGGCGUAAGCCUGAACCAGCCAAGUCGCGUGAGGGAUGAAGGUUCUAUGGAUCGUAAACCUCUUUUAUAAGGGAAUAAAGUGCGGGACGUGUCCCGUUUUGUAUGUACCUUAUGAAUAAGCAUCGGCUAACUCCGUGCCAGCAGCCGCGGUAAUACGGAGGAUGCGAGCGUUAUCCGGAUCUAUUGGGUUUAAAGGGUGCGUAGGUGGACUGUUAAGUCAGCGGUAAAAGCUCGGGGCUCAACCCCGGCGAGCCGUUGAAACUGGCUGUCUUGAGAGGGUUAGAGGUAUGCGGAAUGCGCAGUGUAGCGGUGAAAUGCUUAGAUAUUGCGCAGAACUCCGAUUGCGAAGGCAGCAUACCGGCGGCGAACUGACGCUGAGGCACGAAAGCGUGGGUAUCGAACAGGAUUAGAUACCCGAGUAGUC
rnacentral:rRNA from 1 species